rnacentral:rRNA from 1 species
UACGAAGGGGGCUAGCGUUGUUCGGAAUUACUGGGCGUAAAGGGCGCGUAGGCGGUUUGACCAGUCAGGUGUGAAAUUCCCGGGCUUAACCUGGGGGCUGCACUUGAUACUGUCAGGCUUGAAUUCGGGAGAGGAUAGCGGAAUUCCCAGUGUAGAGGUGAAAUUCGUAGAUAUUGGGAAGAACACCGGUGGCGAAGGCGGCUAUCUGGACCGAUAUUGACGCUGAGGCGCGAAAGCGUGGGGAGCAAACAGG